ACCUAUAGUAUUACAUAACCUAGUCUAAGAUCAAACUAGAGGGUAUAAUAUAAAUAUAUAUUGCAUGUUUAAUCAUAGGCCAUAUUGUAUACAAUAUUGCAUGCAUGUAUAUGGAAUAAAAAAUGAAUUAUUUGAAUGUCAGAUUUUUGUUUUUGUUUUGUUUUUGGUGAAAGUCACAGAUCACAUGGCAGUGGCAUAUUAUUAAACUUUACUGAAUGUGAUUCAUAAUCCCCCAAUAAUUAACAUAUAAUUUUUUUAAACUUUCUUAUAAGUAAAUGUUCGAAUUACCAAAAAGAAUUAUUCCAUGUACAUGCGAGCAAUAUUUACAUAAACUAGUCAAAAC
rnacentral:lncRNA from 1 species